AGAGUUUGAUCCUGGCUCAGCCUGAACGCUGGCGGCGUGGCUAAGACAUGCAAGUCGUACGGUGUAGCAAUACACAGUGGCGAACGGGUGAGUAAUGAAUCGCUAACGUGCCCCGGACUCUGGGAUAGCUACCCGAAAGGGUAGGUAAUACCAGAUGAGACCACGAACAGGCAUCUGUUUGUGCUCAAAGGUCCGCCGGUCUGGGAGCGGGCGAUUUCGUAUCAGCUAGUUGGUGAGGUAACGGCUCACCAAGGCGACGACGCGUAGCCGGACUGAGAGGUUGGCCGGCCACAUUGGGACUGAGACACUGCCCAGACUCCUACGGGGGGCUGCAGUAACGAAUCUUCCGCAAUGGGCGCAAGCCUGACGGAGCGACGCCGCGUGUAGGACGAAGCCCUUCGGGGUGUAAACUACUGUCAGGGGUUAGAAAGUUCUGAUCAACCCCAGAGGAAGGCACGGCUAACUCUGUGCCAGCCGCCGCGGUAAUAC
rnacentral:rRNA from 1 species